rnacentral:rRNA from 1 species
AAUGAACGUUGGCGGCGUGGAUUAGGCAUGCAAGUCGCGCGAGAAACGUAGCAAUACGUGGAGAGCGGCGUAAGGGAGAGUAAUACAUGGUUAGCUACCCUCGGGACUGGGAUAGCGGCGGGAAACUGCCGGUAAUACCAGAUGACGUCUUCGGACCAAACGUGUAAAUCGGCCCGAGGAGGCGACCGUGCCCUAUCAGCUUGUUGGCGGGGUACUGGCUCACCAAGGCCAAGACGGGUAUGGGGCGUGAGAGCGUGCCCCCACUCACUGGGACUGAGAGACUGCCCAGACAACUACGGGUGGCUGCAGUCGAGAAUCUUCGGCAAUGGACGCAAGUCUGACCGAGCGACGCCGCGUGCGGGAUGAAGGCCUUCGGGUUGUAAACCGCUGUCGUAGGGGAGGAAGGCUUGGUGUAUAGCCAAGUUUGACCGAUCCUAGGAGGAAGGGCCGGCUAAUCUCGUGCCAGCCGCCGCGGUAA